UCAACGGAGAGUUUGAUCCUGGCUCAGGACGAACGCUGGCGGCGUGCUUAACACAUGCAAGUCGAACGGUGAUGCUCCAGCUUGCUGGAGUGGAUCAGUGGCGAACGGGUGAGUAACACGUGAGCAACCUGCCCCAGACUCUGGAAUAAGCGCUGGAAACGGCGUCUAAUACUGGAUACGAAACUGGCCCGCAUGGGCAUGGUUUGGAAAGUUUUUCGGUUUGGGAUGGGCUCGCGGCCUAUCAGCUUGUUGGUGAGGUAAUGGCUCACCAAGGCGACGACGGGUAGCCGGCC
rnacentral:ncRNA from 1 species